rnacentral:lncRNA from 1 species
GAGAGAGAACUGAAAGAGAGAUAGAAAAGGGCAGGAGGAGAGAGAGGAGAAGGUAAAGAAGGAGAUGGUGACAAAGGAGUUGAGGAGGUAGGCAAAGAGGGAGGAGGAAGAGGAGGAGGUGGCACACACCAGCAGAAGGAAAGGAGGUAACGAAUCUAACUGACAGGAGAAGGUGGUCACAAGGCACACUAAUAGGAGGAGAUGGAAAGGCAAUAGGGUGGAACAGUUGGAAGAGAGAAAGACAGAGUGAUAGACUGAAAGAGCAAAAGAAAAGAAGAAAAGAAAAAAGAAAAAAAAAAUGCACUUGUAUGUCAUAGAGAAAAAUACUGAUGUCAAACAGUAGGUUGAUACCGAACUACUGAUUAGCUUACCACUCAGUAAGCCAAAUACAGUUAGCAUAUAAAGCGGUACAUCGCAUACCAAACCAAACCGAAUGAAAUCAUCUAGUCCAUGUCCUGGUUGAUUAUUGAACCAACAAGCAUCGAAUUGUGCCACUAAUACCUGAGUAUUUUAAAACUUGGUGUAAUUAAUCACUAAAAUGAAUCAAACUCCAGAGGAGACAAAGUGUUAUGCAAGAUCAAUGAAAUAAAAUUGGUUAUUAAAGCAAACUAUCAGUUAAGCACAUUGCAAGUCAUACUGCUUAUGCUUGAGGCCUGGAGCCAUUUUGUUUAGAAAGAACACACCUGAGUUGCAAUACCAGCAUGAUCGGUGCCCGGAAUCCAAAGAGUAGGCCUUCCCUUCAUACGGUUGUAUCUGACCAUUAUGUCCUAGUCAAAGAAUACAACAUCUUUAGGAUCAAACUUCGACUGAAAAUCUUUCAUUGCAGACUGAAGCAAUGAUAAAAAUGUCCAAACUAUGUUCAUUCACUAUCCACACAGCGAUUUGCAAUUAAAAAUACCAAAGCAAAUUGUACUAAAUCAAAUGAAUCAUUAAAACAACAAAAUAAGUUCAUCAAAUUUCACUUACAAAAGAACUAAAAAGAUGUAUUUAGUAAAAUAAAAUUGCUGGAUGUCAUACCAAGACAUGCCAAAUACAGAAAGGUAUCAAUGUUGCGCAGCAAGGGCAGACAUGACCACAUAAAUUGCAUUAUCUGUAUAUCCAUGCUUUAAAACUUAAGAUUGUAAUUGUUUCAAACUUAAAAAAUCAACGUGUUCAUGCAAACAUAAUGUUAUUGCAACAUUAACAACUCGUAACUCAAGGCCUUACAUACCUGCUUAUUGCUUUUCACAUUGUUUGCACCAGGUUUGUCAUUCUAUUAAGAGAGUAAAUAGAAUGAAAAUUAGUUUUGUGUCUGUAAAGAGCUCGAGCAUCCAACAACUCUAUGCAAUGUUCGUGUCAAUAUUCUGACACAAGAAAACUAGCUCUGUUUUUAAUAUAUUAUAAAAUUACUAUGCUUUGUUCUUUUUUGUAUCUUGGCUUUAGUCUUGCUCUAUGACUCAACAAUCUUUUGUAAUGUUUUAUCAUGUUCUGUAAUCUUCAUUUUAUUUGGAUUUUAAUCUUAUGUCAAGUAACAGAAAAAAUAUUCUGAAUUUAAAAUCAGUCCUAUACAUAUUCUUAAUAAAUUACCACUCCACAUUGUGCAAGUUUUUAAAACUAUAAGGAUCAUGCAUUUUGUAUUCAUCUUACUUUUAUUACAUCAUAUUGCAAUUACCAAUCAUUUAUUUAACUUUAUGGAUAAUUGAUGUACAAAAUCCAAGCUUUUAUUUGUAUCUACUAGUACAUUUUAUAGUAGGCUCAAUCCUGAGCUUAGUUUAGCUUUAUUGUUUUCUUCAUCUAAACUUACAUUAUCUCAUUUAUAUGCCCCACCUAAGUCUAAAUUGUGGCUCAGCCCCUGCUUAUUUGUAUCUAAUGCAAGCUGGUGGCAGGUUAGCACUUAAAACUUAAAAUUACCAUAAAAGGUGCUUGCCUUGGACUACCAUGAAAUGCAUCAGAUCUAUGCAUUCUUAACCUCACAUGCAGAUAGGACAAUGUAAAUAACACUCUGUCGGUGGAUCAACUUCAAAGUUUAAAUAUGUACAAAAAUUUGUUCCACCUAAAACAAGUUUAGAUAUCUGGUCUAAUUGACCUUAUUCUAGAAUGAGUAUUGAUUCUUAUAAAUGUUAAUUGGUUCUGACUUCAGUCUUUAGACAAAUUGGAGAUUGUCAUCUUUUUUAUGUCCCAUGAUGGCAACCCAAUGUACACGAAAGUUUCACGACUGAUAUAGCAGUAAGAAUGGGAGGAUGGUACAGAGAGCUUGAUAUGUGAACUAAUAAGAAAAAUUAAAACAAACUGACAUGACUACAAAUAAGUAUGUCUUUUGUGGCAUGUUAUUAAGAAUAGACAAAGGAUCCUCAACACAAACAUAUUAUCAGAGAGGUUCCUUGAUUUAUAAGCCACCAUAUUUGAACAUGAGAAAUGCACAUGAAACACAUGAAAAUAGCAAGAAAAACCUCCAAGAAAUAUAUAUUUUCCUCGAGACAGAAAUAAAACAAGAAGUCCCAAAGUAGCAAAAGUGCAAAAC